rnacentral:rRNA from 1 species
GAUGAACGCUGGCGGCGUGCCUAAUACAUGCAAGUCGAACGCAUUGUGGUUGAAAUGAUAUGAAGAACUUGUUCAGAUUUGAUUUUCAACAUUGCAAUGAGUGGCGAACGGGUGAGUAACACGUGGGAAACCUACCUCUUAGCAGGGGAUAACACUUGGAAACAAAUGCUAAUACCGUAUAAUAAUUAAAACCGCAUGGUUUUAGUUUAAAAGAUGGUCUUGCUAUCACUAAGAGAUGGUCCCGCGGUGUAUUAGUUAGUUGGUGAGGUAAUGGCUCACCAAAGACAAUGAUACAUAGCCGAGUUGAGAGACUGACCGGCCACAAUGGGACUGAGACACGGCCCAUACUCCUACGGGAGGCAGCAGUUA